GUAUUUUGGUGUUGGGU
rnacentral:sRNA from 1 species